CCUAACGGGCGGCUGCAGUGGGGAAUAUUGGACAAUGGGCGAAAGCCUGAUCCAGCCAUGCCGCGUGUGUGAAGAAGGCCUUCGGGUUGUAAAGCACUUUCAGUGGGGAAGAAAGCCUUGGGGCUAAUACCCUCGAGGAAGGACAUCACCCACAGAAGAAGCACCGGCUAACUCCGUGCCAGCAGCCGCGGUAAUACGGAGGGUGCGAGCGUUAAUCGGAAUUACUGGGCGUAAAGCGCGCGUAGGCGGUCUGAUAAGCCGGUUGUGAAAGCCCCGGGCUCAACCUGGGAACGGCAUCCGGAACUGUCAGGCUAGAGUGCAGGAGAGGAAGGUAGAAUUCCCGGUGUAGCGGUGAAAUGCGUAGAGAUCGGGAGGAAUACCAGUGGCGAAGGCGGCCUUCUGGACUGACACUGACGCUGAGGUGCGAAAGCGUGGGUAGCAAACAGGAUUAGAUACCCCAGUAGUC
rnacentral:rRNA from 1 species